AUACCUUUCUCGGCCUUUUGGCUAAGAUCAAGUGUAGUAUCUGUUCUUAUCAGUUUAAUAUCUGAUAUGUGGGUCAUUGGCCCACACGAUAUUAAAUUAAUUUUUUAAGGGGAGAAGCUAUUACAAUAGCUUGCUAUUGGGUUUCUCAAGCGUCGCCCUUCUGUUGCACUACUGCAUGGGCUGGCACACCCCAC
rfam:Lupinus angustifolius cultivar Tanjil contig_19440, whole genome shotgun sequence.